rnacentral:rRNA from 1 species
AACGAACGCUGGCGGCAUGCCUAACACAUGCAAGUCGAACGAGACCUUCGGGUCUAGUGGCGCACGGGUGCGUAACGCGUGGGAACCUGCCCUUAGGUUCGGAAUAACUCCCCGAAAGGGGUGCUAAUACCGGAUAAUGUCUUCGGACCAAAGAUUUAUCGCCUUUGGUUGGGCCCGCGUUGGAUUAGCUAGUUGGUAGGGUAAAAGCCUACUAAGGCGACGAUCCAUAGCUGGUCUGAGAGGAUGAUCAGCCACACUGGGACUGAGACACGGCCCAGACUCCUACGGGAGGCAGCAGUGGGGAAUAUUGGACAAUGGGCGAAAGCCUGAUCCAGCAAGGCCGCGUGAGUGAUGAAGGCCUUAGGGUUGUAAAGCUCUUUUACCCGGGAUGAUAAUGACAGUACCGGGAGAAUAAGCUCCGGCUAACUCCGUG